rnacentral:rRNA from 1 species
GGGGGGGGCGGGCGGGGGGCCGGGCGCGGGCAGGUCGGGCGGGUGCGGGGAGCUUGCUCCUGGGUUGCGCGGCGGCCGGGUUGUUGCUGCCUCGGACUCUGCCUGGUAGUGGGGGGUACCGUCCGCAAACGGGCUCUACUCCCGCAUCCUUCCUGCGUGCGCCCGUUUGUGCUCUUCGUACCUCACUCUCUCCUCUGAGCCUAGGUCGGCUUAGCUAGUGGUUGGGGUAACGGCCUACCAAGGCGACGAUCCGUAACUGGCCGGAGAGGAUGAUCAGUCACACUGGAACUGAGACACGGUCCAGAGGCCUACGGGAGGCAGCAGUGGGGAAUAUUGGACAAUGGGCGAAAGCCUGAGCCAGCCAUGCCGCGUGUGUGAAGAAGGUCUUCGGAUUGUAAAGCACUUUAAGUUGGGAGGAAGGGCAGUAAGUUAAUACCUUGCUGUUUUGACGUUACCAACAGAAUAAGCAACGGCUAACUUCGUG